GCGAUGAAUUAGAAAAACCAACAUUUAAUGGGAUCCUUAACAUGCAAAAGUCAUCACCCAGAGUAACCUAGGUCUGCAUGGAUUGUUCCAGUAGUUGAUCAGUAUGUGCAAAAGAAAGCCAGCAUAUCCUUGGACCGUAACUGCCCAACCUUCCUGCACGGCUUACCUUCUUUUUACCAUGUCAAGCAACAACACAUGGAUACAGGAGAAAGUGACGGGAAAAUUGAAUAUGGCUCCACAAAACAGGCCAGAUGGAGCAAUCAGAACAGAGAAAGAACACUGAACCUGAAGUCAGACAACCUGAGUUUCCUUCCAGCUUCUGCAUCUUAUGAUUCUAUUUGGCAGAAGUUCCCAGCUGACUAUCACUGCAGAGGUUUCCAAACACUAGAAAAUACUAUUAUUUCAACACACAAAGCAGUGGUCUAAUGCCCUCUGGGCAUCUUGGUUGUCCACCUCAGGAUAGUAAAGAAAAUACUGGUAUUUAUAAUAAAAUGUGACUAUUCCUGUUCCUCGGUCUCUUA
rnacentral:lncRNA from 12 species